CCUACGGGUGGCUGCAGUGGGGAAUUUUGGACAAUGGGGGAAACCCUGAUCCAGCCAUGCCGCGUGCGGGAAGAAGGCCUUCGGGUUGUAAACCGCUUUCGGACGGAAAGAAAUCGCACGGACUAAUACUCUGUGUGGAUGACGGUACCGUAAGAAGAAGCACCGGCUAACUACGUGCCAGCAGCCGCGGUAAUACGUAGGGUGCGAGCGUUAAUCGGAAUUACGCGGCGGGUAGCGUGCGCCGGAGGUGAAAUCCCCGGGCUUAACCUGGGAACUGCGUUUGGAACUGGGAGACUAGAGUGUGUCAGAGGGAGGUGGAAUUCCGCGUGUAGCAGUGAAAUGCGUAGAUAUGCGGAGGAACACCGAUGGCGAAGGCAGCCUCCUGGGAUAACACUGACGCUCAUGCACGAAAGCGUGGGGAGCAAACAGGAUUAGAUACCCUAGUAGUC
rnacentral:rRNA from 1 species